GACAGAGGGUGCAAACGUUGUUCGGAAUUACUGGGCGUAAAGCGCGUGUAGGCGGUUAUGCAAGUCGGGUGUGAAAUCCCAUGGCUUAACCAUGGAACUGCUCGGUAUACUGGGUGUCUUGAGCCACUUAGGGGCUACCGGAACAAAUGGUGGAGCGGUGAAAUGCGUAGAUACCAGGAGGAACACCGGUGGCGAAGGCGGCACGCUGGGUCCCUACUGACGCUGAGGCGCGAAAGCCAGGGGAGCGAACGGG
rnacentral:rRNA from 1 species